GCGGGCUUAGCUCAGUUGGCUAGAGCGCCACGUUGCCAACGUGGAGGUCGAGGGUUCGAACCCCUUAGCCCGCU
rnacentral:tRNA from 1 species